ACUCCUGCGGGAGGCAGCAGUGGGGAAUUUUGGACAAUGGGCGAAAGCCUGAUCCAGCCAUGCCGCGUGCAGGAUGAAGGCCUUCGGGUUGUAAACUGCUUUUGUACGGAACGAAACGGCCUUUUCUAAUAAAGAGGGCUAAUGACGGUACCGUAAGAAUAAGCACCGGCUAACUACGUGCCAGCAGCCGCGGUAAUACGUAGGGUGCAAGCGUUAAUCGGAAUUACUGGGCGUAAAGCGUGCGCAGGCGGUUAUGUAAGACAGUUGUGAAAUCCCCGGGCUCAACCUGGGAACUGCAUCUGUGACUGCAUAGCUAGAGUACGGUAGAGGGGGAUGGAAUUCCGCGUGUAGCAGUGAAAUGCGUAGAUAUGCGGAGGAACACCGAUGGCGAAGGCAAUCCCCUGGACCUGUACUGACGCUCAUGCACGAAAGCGUGGGGAGCAAACAGGAUUAGAUACCCCAGUAGUCCCA
rnacentral:rRNA from 1 species